AACGAACGCUGGCGGCAGGCUUAACACAUGCAAGUCGAACGCCCCCCAAGGGGAGUGGCAGACGGGUGAGUAACGCGUGGGAAUCUACCCAGAUCUACGGAACAACAGUUGGAAACGACUGCUAAUACCGUAUACGCCCUACGGGGGAAAGAUUUAUCGGAUUUGGAUGAGCCCGCGUUGGAUUAGCUAGUUGGUGGGGUAAUGGCCUACCAAGGCGACGAUCCAUAGCUGGUCUGAGAGGAUGAUCAGCCACACUGGGACUGAGACACGGCCCAGACUCCUACGGGAGGCAGCAGUGGGGAAUAUUGGACAAUGGGCGCAAGCCUGAUCCAGCCAUGCCGCGUGAGUGAUGAAGGCCUUAGGGUUGUAAAGCUCUUUCACCGAUGAAGAUAAUGACGGUAGUCGGAGAAGAAGCCCCGGCUAACUUCGUGCCAGCCGCCGCCGUAACAC
rnacentral:rRNA from 1 species